CAUGCGCGACAUUACUGACAGCACUACGCAUGAGCGAGCCCCGAGACGGCAAUACGCAUGCGCGAGCCGCGAGACGGCAGUACGCAUGCGCUAGUUUCGAGACGGCAGCACGCAUGCGCGACAUUAUAGACGGCAGUACGCAUGCGCGAGCCGGGAGACGGCAGUACGCAUGCGCGACAUUACGGACAGCAGUACGCACGCGCGAGCCAUGGAACGGCAGUACGCAUGCGCGACAUCAUGGGCGGUAGUACGCAUGCGCGAGCUCCGAGAUGGCACUACGCUCGCGCGAGUUUCGAAACGGCAGUACGCACGCGCGAGACGCGAGACGGUAGUGCGCAUGCGCGAGGUUCGAGAGGGCAGUACGCAUGCGCGACAUUAUGGACGGCAGUACGCAUGCGCGAGACCCGAAACGGUAGUGGCAGCAGAUACCGUGGCAACAACAACUCCGCCGCCUUUUAGCGGACUGCCUGGGACCGUGGGCGCGCAUCCCCUUCUCUCUUUCUUUUCUUGGCAGAGGAUGGUGGGGGGAAGAAGGGGAGACGACAAAGAAAAGCAAGGAAAACUUCGACAAACCCUCCAACCCCGUGCUAAAUGCUUUGGUAUACCUGUAAAUAAAUGAAUACAUAACCAGCAAGUUGUUGUUGUCAUGCCUUUUUUUUUUUUUAAUAUGUGUAUGUGUAUACAUUUAUAUAUACACAUGUAUAUACAUAUUUCAGCCAGCAUCUGAGGUGAUGAAAAAACAUGGUAUGAAUUGCACGCAGUGAAGCCAAGGGUGCCUUGGAACAAUUAACA
rnacentral:lncRNA from 1 species